rnacentral:tRNA from 1 species
UCCCUGGUGGUCCAGUGGUUAGGACUCUGCUCUCACUGCCAAGGGCCCAGGUUCGAUCCCUGGUCAGGGAA